rnacentral:rRNA from 1 species
UUAAUUGAAGAGUUUGAUCAUGGCUCAGAUUGAACGCUGGCGGCAGGCUUAACACAUGCAAGUCGAGCGGAAACGAGAAUAGCUUGCUAUUCGGCGUCGAGCGGCGGACGGGUGAGUAAUGCUUGGGAAUAUGCCUUUGAGUGGGGGACAACAGUUGGAAACGACUGCUAAUACCGCAUAACGUCUACGGACCAAAGGGGGGGACGCUUCGGCACCUCUCGCUCAUUGAUUAGCCCAAGUGAGAUUAGCUAGUUGGUAAGGUAAUGGCUUACCAAGGCGACGAUCUCUAGCUGGUUUGAGAGGAUGAUCAGCCACACUGGGACUGAGACACGGCCCAGACUCCUACGGGAGGCAGCAGUGGGGAAUAUUGCACAAUGGGCGAAAGCCUGAUGCAGCCAUGCCGCGUGUGUGAAGAAGGCCUUCGGGUUGUAAAGCACUUUCAGCGAGGAGGAAAGGUUAGUAGUUAAUAACUGCUAGCUGUGACGUUACUCGCAGAAGAAGCACCGGCUAACUUCGUGCCAGCAGCCGCGGUAAUACGAGGGGUGCAAGCGUUAAUCGGAAUUACUGGGCGUAAAGCGUGCGUAGGUGGUUUGUUAAGCAAGAUGUGAAAGCCC